rnacentral:rRNA from 1 species
UUAGCAUGGAAUAAUGGAAUAGGACGAGUGAUUCUAUUUUGUUGGUUUAUAGAACCACCGUAAUGAUUAAUAGGAACAGUUGGGGGCAUUAGUAUUCAGUUGCUAGAGGUGAAAUUCUUGGAUUUACUGAAGACUAACUACUGCGAAAGCAUUUGCCAAGGAUGUUUUCAUUAAUAAAGGACGAUGGUUGGGGGAUCGAAAAUGAUUAGAUACCGUUGUAGUCCCAACAGUAAACUAUGCCGACUGAGGAUUGGAUGACGUUAUAUUAUUGACUCAUUCAGCACUCUGCGAGAAAUCAAAGUUUUUGGGCUUAGGGGGGAGUAUGGUCGCAAGGCUGAAACUUAAAGGAAUUGACGGAAGAGCACCACAAAGAGUGGAGCCUGCGGCUUAAUUUGACUCAACACGGGGAAACUC